UUGUUGCUGUUGUUGUUGUUGUUGUUGUCGUCGUCGUCUUCGUUGUUGUUGUUGUUGUUUUGUUGUUGUUGUUGUUGUUGUUGUUGUUGUUGUUGUUGUCGUUGUUGUCACUCUUGUCGUUAAUGUCGUUGUUGUCAUUGCUGUUGUUUUUAUCUUUCUUCUCGUUGUUCUCGUGAUUGUCAUUGUUGUCGUCAUUUUCGUUGCUCACGUCGUUGUCGCCUUUAUC
rnacentral:lncRNA from 1 species